UUCGUGUCUUCUUGUCCCCAUCCCAGGUCCUUAGGUCUAUUGCUCCAGAUUGACAACCUGCAGGUUGGGACUACUGGAGCCCAGCCAUGGGGCUCAAUAGACCUUUGUUCCAGGUGUUUCAGUGUUCAUCAGAGGGACGUGCCCGUCCAUGCAUAGAGGAGUCCAUGACACAGUCGAAAGUGACCCUCGACAGAGUGCCAAUCGCCUGACUCAGUCUUUGAUUGACUCCAGGAUUCAUGAACACCACCUGGGGAGAGAAGAUUACAGGACACUUCGAUGUCUACACAGCGCUGACCAGGGGGCAGGAUGCCCCAAUGAACACCUGCUGCCAGGACCUGGCUGAAACUGUGAGCAAGUAACAGGACAUUGGAGAAUUAAUUGCACCCCCUUUACAUAGACAAAAUAAGGUCAGUCUUUUCAUGUCCCUCUUCUGCAGAGAGAAAAACUCUCACCUUAUAGGCCUGGAAAAGAUUGAUGCUAUUCUGUGAUAUUUCUACCUGCUAAUAGAGACUUGGGUAUGGCUAACUGUAUAUGGACUGGACCCUGUCAUUUUUAAUAGAUUUAAAAACUGUAAAAUUUAUCCUUCUCAGAUCCCUGGUAGUAUUAAUGGUUAAACUGUAGCCAGCUUAAUAGCUCAUUUAAUAAAGUUCUGAUAAGCUGAUAGAGCAAUGACUACCUGCUCUUCAGUCACAAGUUCAAGGUUUUUAGACUUAUUUUAGUUGUCAUCUAAAUAUAAACUUAAAGGGCUUUUCAUCAGGCCAAAGGUGCCUCUGUCCAAUCUACACCUGACUCACAGGACAGAAGAAAAAUAUGCAAGUUUCUAGCUCAAACCUGUAGGUUUUGCUAGGACUCAAAGGUAUGAGUCUGUUCCUGUUGCUUUACAGAUACCUGAUGUCUGCUUUCCUAUAAUGUAGAUUUUGGUACAGAUUGAUAAUACUAAUACAUCUAAAACUUUUAAGUCUUUUGUAUAAUAAAGUCCAUAUAGGCUUCAAAGGAUCAAAAGUCAUAAAGCUUGGAUCCACUUCCCACAGUUCAAAAGGACUCCAGAUAAGUACAACUUUUUAUUAUUGCACCUGUCUGUUCCUGAUAAUGGAAUUUUCCCCCUGGUCUUUGAACUUCUGCCCUUCCUGAUCACUAAAACUAUGAACCUAAGAGUUCUAAUUAAGUAUAUUAGUUUUAACUUCUGUUCCAAAUUUAAACAUGUCUCAAACAGAUUUCCACUUCUGGUUUCCACAUCUGGCAGACACGUUGGAACAUCAGUUGCUGACUACAGUCUGCUCCUAAAGACAAAGAGCUCUAAUCUUGCUGUGGAUAUAAACCAGUCCAGCCAAUGUGAAUGCUCCCUAUUUCUUCAACAGAGUCUGCCAACAAGAUGCUUCUGAUAAAUA